UACAGAGGUCUCAAGCGUUGUUCGGAUUCAUUGGGCGUAAAGGGUGCGUAGGCGGCGCGGUAAGUCGGGUGUGAAAUCUUGGAGCUUAACUCCGAAACUGCAUUCGAUACUGCCGGGCUAGAGUCCGGAAGAGGCGAGUGGAACUCCUGGUGUAGCGGUGGAAUGCGCAGAUAUCAGGAAGAACACCAACGGCGAAGGCAGCUCGCUGGGGACGGAAACUGACGCUAAGGCGCGAAAGCGUGGGGAGCAAACAGG
rnacentral:rRNA from 1 species